GAGUUUGAUCUUGGCUCAGAUUGAACGCUGGCGGCAUGCCUUACACAUGCAAGUCGAACGGCAGCACGGGGGCAACCCUGGUGGCGAGUGGCGAACGGGUGAGUAAUGCAUCGGAACGUGCCCAGUAGUGGGGGAUAACCAGUCGAAAGACUGGCUAAUACCGCAUACGACCUACGGGUGAAAGCGGGGGACCGCAAGGCCUCGCGCUAUUGGAGCGGCCGAUGUCUGAUUAGCUAGUUGGCGGGGUAAGAGCCCACCAAGGCGACGAUCAGUAGCUGGUCUGAGAGGACGACCAGCCACACUGGGACUGAGACACGGCCCAGACUCCUACGGGAGGCAGCAGUGGGGAAUUUUGGACAAUGGGCGCAAGCCUGAUCCAGCCAUGCCGCGUGC
rnacentral:rRNA from 1 species